AAAAUAUUUUAAAAAGAAUAUUUUCUUUUUAUUUUGUUAAAAAGAAAAAAGAAGAAAAGAAAAAAAAAGAAAGAAGAAGAGAAAUGAAAAAAAAACAGAAAAAAAAGAAGAAGAAAAAAAAAAGAGAAAAGAAAGUUCACCUUGAGUAUCUCACGGAUGUGCUGAUUCCAUUUUAAAAUGAAAGAUGUUGAUUUAAUUGGAGAGGAGUUGCAUCCAACAACAGCCACGGACCAUGACAAAUAGGAGCUGCACAAAGCAAAUUUUGUUGUAUCUUCAUCUGAGUGCUGCACCACGGCCCAAAAGAAAAAUAUGUUGCAGCCACAAUGCCACCCUGUUAUUUACAGGGGGACACCACUUGAAUGAAAGCACGCAACCCUAGGAUAUCAGGGGCAGNCAGCNGCCACUUAUUAUUUCUUGGCCUCUUAGGUUUGGUUAGAAAUUUUUUGGAGAAAAAUGGCAUAUGAUAUACAGUGAAGGGCUGCAGCAGCCAACGUUUCUUUUU
rnacentral:lncRNA from 1 species